rnacentral:rRNA from 1 species
AUGGCCCACCACCGCCGCCAGCCAUCCCUCCCGCUGGUCUUCUUCCGCACCAGGAGUAACGACUACGCCGCCCACGCCGUGGUUGAUGCCUUGGAUAUCCGGCGAACCCCCGCCGCUCGCCGGCCCGUCCUCGGGUUCGACGACUACAACAAAGAUCGACGUAGCUUCACCAUCCACGCCUCCUGCGACGGGCUCCUCCUCCUUUCCCUCUCCAACCACCGCUUCUACAUCUGCAACCCGGCGACGCGCCAGUGGCUCCAGCUCCCGGAUCUGACCGGCGGCAGUGUCGCGGCCCUGUACCCUCACCGCCCGUCGGGCGACUACCGUGUCCUCUUCUGGAAGUAUCCAGACAACAAGAGCUGCAGGGUCGCCUACUACGUCCUCACCGUCAGCUCGUUCCAGGGACAACAGCGAUGCAUCGGGCUGCCAGUGGCCUCGCCAUCCAUGAACAAGGACAGGUCCUGGUGGCACCUUCAAGCCUCCGAGCACCCGCCUCUCCUGCUACAUGGCUGCCUACAUUGGCAUGCUUUCAACAGCAAGAUAGUAAUUUUCGACACGGUGGCAGAGUCAUUCAGCUGGGCGCAAUCUCCCACAGCCACCAGCUCGGCACAUCUGCUUCAGAUGGAUGGUAUGCUCGGCAUCGGCUGCAUAGAUACGGCUACCAUGACCGCGAAAGCGUGGGUGUUGGAGGACUACGAGGCAGAAGUAUGGUCAUCAAAGUACCGGACGGAAUUGCCGGAGGAGGAGAUGAUGGAAGAUGGUAAAUGUGUUCAGUGUCUAUACGGCAAGGUUGUGUCUGAGAACGGAGAUAUGCUGCUAAUCGGUCGCAUUUGUUGGUCCCUCUCCCUGUUUCACUGUGACAACAAGGGCGACUUGAUCCAGAAAUUCCUAUGGGAGAACGUUGAUCCAAAGCUUCUCGGGAUCUCUUUCAAAGAGAGCCUA